GUGGACAUAGUUUAACAAAACACUAGAUUGUGAUUCUAGCAAUAAAGGUUAAAACCCUUUUGUACACC
rnacentral:tRNA from 3 species